rnacentral:tRNA from 2 species
GCUCCCUUCGUCUAGUGGCCCAGGACGUCGGCCUCUCACGCCGAAAACAGGGGUUCGAGUCCCCUAGGGAGCGCCA